UACGAACCGUACAAACGUUAUUCGGAAUCACUGGGCUUAAAGGGUGCGUAGGCGGCCAUGUAAGUGAGGUGUGAAAUCCCUCGGCUCAACCGAGGAACUGCGCUUCAUACUGCAUGGCUUGAGGGAGACAGGGGUAAGCGGAACUGAUGGUGGAGCGGUGAAAUGCGUUGAUAUCAUCAGGAACACCGGUGGCGAAAGCGGCUUACUGGGUCUCUUCUGACGCUGAGGUACGAAAGCUAGGGGAGCGAACGGG
rnacentral:rRNA from 1 species